ACCAGGAGACCAUAAAUGUUUCUUCUCCAAUUGGAUGAUGAUAAGACUGUGACACGGGAUGCCACCUUUAGUCUUGUGAUGAAGCAAAGCUCAGGAAGAAGUGUGAAUAAAUGGUACCCACAUGUGUGCUGCUGAGAAGGAUGUACAGGGGCACCUGCAGCCAAAUCCAAGCCUCCUCAGCAACUUCAGGUCUGUCAGCGUGCUGAGGUCACAGAAACAAGAAAAGCAGCUUCAGACUUCAGAGUGUUGUUUACAGUUUUCUGUCAUCAUGAUCUCCCCUGAAGUUUAUCACUAUUAUACAAGCAAGCAGAGCGGCAGUUUGUGCUCACAGAUGGUGACGGUGUGGAGAGACAGUGGUGUUUCCUCAGAAGAACUAGCAGAGUCACAAAGGGCACGAGUCCAUCUCACCACCUUGACUUGCUGACUGAUGCUCGUCUGCACUGCACAGAGGAAAUC